CUCUGUGACUCCUACGGGAGGCAGCAGUGGGGAAUAUUGCACAAUGGGGGAAACCCUGAUGCAGCCAUGCCGCGGUGUGUGAAGAAGGCCUUCGGGUUGUAAAGCACUUUCAGUAGGGAGGAAGGUAGUGUAGUUAACACCUGCACUAUUUGACGUUACCUACAGAAGAAGCACCGGCUAACUCCGUGCCAGCAGCCGCGGUAAUACGGAGGUGCGAGCGUUAAUCGGAAUUACUGGGCGUAAAGCGCAUGCAGGCGGCCUGUUAAGUCAGAUGUGAAAGCCCGGGGCUUAACCUCGGAAUUGCAUUUGAAACUGGCAGGCUAGAGUCUUGUAGAGGGGGUAGAAUUUCAGGUGUAGCGGUGAAAUGCGUAGAGAUCUGAAGGAAUACCAGUGGCGAAGGCGGCCCCCUGGACAAAGACUGACGCUCAGAUGCGAAAGCGUGGGGAGCAAACAGGAUUAGAUACCCUGGUAG
rnacentral:rRNA from 1 species